AAGAUGUGCGCGCUUACUCCGUACUGAUUUGAAUGAGAAGACUUCGCACCAUAUAAACCACAAUAAUAACCUCGGGAUUUAUUAACUUUGAAUGCAUGGUGUUGGUUGCAUCAUCCGUAUUUUCAAAUUCCCACAUUCAAAAGACCCGCCUUUGGUGAAGGCAAAGGUGUUGUGCUAUUCUUUCCGAGGUGCAGAUUCCUUAUCAGCCUUUUCAGUGUAUGUGAUUCUAACUAAGUUUUAUAGAUCCGCCACUCUGUUCGACCGAUAGAGUGAACAUAGGAUUUCUGUGAUACUGUUCUUUUAAAAUUCAGUGAAUGGAUUAGACGCCGUUUUCAACCUUUAACAACCCGGUGACUUGAAAGAAAAUAAAUUAAAACUUGUACCGAGAAUGGAAUUUAAAUGUGAUUAACAUAUUGAAUAUGGGUUUGUAUUAAAGGUUCAAAAAUUAAAUAUAAUUUGUGUUUAUUUCUUUUAGAAUAUAAAUAUAUCAUUAUUUAAUGAGAAAAAGUAAAAAUUCAGGAAAAAUACUUUUGUAACCUCGACUUUAAUGUUUUGAAAACGUUUUAAAAACCGAACAAUUUAAUCGUGAAUAAGACAUUUUUGAAAAUGUUUUUGUUACAUUUAAAAACAAUGUUAUUAUAACAAUUGUUGAAAUAUUUUGUAAAAUGUUUUAAAAACAUUUA